rnacentral:tRNA from 1 species
GCCUGGGUGGCUCAGUCGGUUGAGCGUCCGACUUCAGCUCAGGUCAUGAUCUCGCGGUCUGUGGGUUCAAGCCCCACGUUGGGCU